rnacentral:SRP_RNA from 1 species
GGCUAUCUUCCAGGUGGUGGGACACUUAUGAACCAGGUCAGGCGGGAAACCGAGCAGCCUUAAGUUUUUGUCUCAGGUGCUUGGGAGGUAGUCUCU